rnacentral:rRNA from 1 species
UGGCGGCGUGCUUAACACAUGCAAGUCGAACGGAAAGGCCCUGCUUUUGUGGGGUGCUCGAGUGGCGAACGGGUGAGUAACACGUGAGUAACCUGCCCUUGACUUUGGGAUAACUUCAGGAAACUGGGGCUAAUACCGGAUAGGAGCUCCUGCUGCAUGGUGGGGGUUGGAAAGUUUCGGCGGUUGGGGAUGGACUCGCGGCUUAUCAGCUUGUUGGUGGGGUAGUGGCUUACCAAGGCUUUGACGGGUAGCCGGCCUGAGAGGGUGACCGGCCACAUUGGGACUGAGAUACGGCCCAGACUCCUACGGGAGGCAGCAGUGGGGAAUAUUGCACAAUGGGCGGAAGCCUGAUGCAGCAACGCCGCGUGCGGGAUGACGGCCUUCGGGUUGUAAACCGCUUUCGCCUGUGACGAAGCGUGAGUGACGGUAAUGGGUAAAGAAGCACCGGCUAACUACGUGCCAGCAGCCGCGGUGAUACGUAGGGUGCGAGCGUUGUCCGGAUUUAUUGGGCGUAAAGGGCUCGUAGGUGGUUGAUCGCGUCGGAAGUGUAAUCUUGGGGCUUAACCCUGAGCGUGCUUUCGAUACGGGUUGACUUGAGGAAGGUAGGGGAGAAUGGAAUUCCUGGUGGAGCGGUGGAAUGCGCAGAUAUCAGGAGGAACACCAGUGGCGAAGGCGGUUCUCUGGGCCUUUCCUGACGCUGAGGAGCGAAAGCGUGGGGAGCGAACAGGCUUAGAUACCCUGGUAGUCCACGCUGUAAACGGUGGGUACUAGGUGUGGGGUCCAUUCCACGGGUUCCGUGCCGUAGCUAACGCUUUAAGUACCCCGCCUGGGGAGUACGGCCGCAAGGCUAAAACUCAAAGGAAUUGACGGGGCCCCGCACAAGCGGCGGAGCAUGCGGAUUAAUUCGAUGCAACGCGUAGAACCUUACCUGGGUUUGACAUGGAUCGGGAGUGCUCAGAGAUGGGUGUGCCUCUUUUGGGGUCGGUUCACAGGUGGUGCAUGGCUGUCGUCAGCUCGUGUCGUGAGAUGUUGGGUUAAGUCCCGCAACGAGCGCAACCCUUGUUCACUGUUGCCAGCACGUUAUGGUGGGGACUCAGUGGAGACCGCCGGGGUCAACUCGGAGGAAGGUGGGGAUGACGUCAAGUCAUCAUGCCCCUUAUGUCCAGGGCUUCACGCAUGCUACAAUGGCUGGUACAGAGAGUGGCGAGCCUGUGAGGGUGAGCGAAUCUCGGAAAGCCGGUCUCAGUUCGGAUUGGGGUCUGCAACUCGACCUCAUGAAGUCGGAGUCGCUAGUAAUCGCAGAUCAGCAACGCUGCGGUGAAUACGUUCCCGGGGCUUGUACACACCGCCCGUCAAGUCAUGAAAGUUGGUAACACCCGAAGCCGGUGGCCUAACCAUUGUGGGGGAGCCGUCGAAGGUGGGACUGGUGAUUAGGAC